rnacentral:rRNA from 1 species
GACGAACGUUGGCGGCGUGCUUAAUACAUGCAAGUCAACUGAAGCAGUGGUAGCAAUAUCGCUGUGGAGGUGGCGCACGGGUGAGUAACACGUAGGUAAUCUGCCUUCAGGUCUGGCAUAACUCCGGGAAACCGGGGCUAAUAGCAGAUGAUGCAGCGGCUCGACAUCGAGACAGUUGUCAAAGCUAUGGCGCCUGAAGAUGAGCCUGCGUCUGAUUAGCUAGUUGGCGGGGUAACGGCCCACCAAGGCAACGAUCAGUAGCUGGUCUGAGAGGAUGAUCAGCCACACUGGAACUGAGACACGGUCCAGACUCCUACGGGAGGCAGCAGUAAGGAAUAUUGCUCAAUGGGAGAAAUCCUGAAGCAGCAACGCCGCGUGAGGGACGAAGGGCUUUUGCUUGUAAACCUCUGUAGUGAGAGAAAAAAAUCCCAAUCUUUGGGACAUGAUGGUAGCUCAAAAGUAAGCCCCGGCUAACUACGUG